rnacentral:rRNA from 1 species
UACGAAGGGGGCUAGCGUUGCUCGGAAUCACUGGGCGUAAAGGGUGCGUAGGCGGGUCUUUAAGUCAGGGGUGAAAUCCUGGAGCUCAACUCCAGAACUGCCUUUGAUACUGAGGAUCUUGAGUUCGGGAGAGGUGAGUGGAACUGCGAGUGUAGAGGUGAAAUUCGUAGAUAUUCGCAAGAACACCAGUGGCGAAGGCGCUCACUGGCCCGAUACUGACGCUGAGGCACGAAAGCGUGGGGAGCAACAGG